rnacentral:rRNA from 1 species
UACGUAGGGUGCAAGCGUUAAUCGGAAUUACUGGGCGUAAAGCGUGCGCAGGCGGCUUUGCAAGACAGAUGUGAAAUCCCCGGGCUCAACCUGGGAACUGCAUUUGUGACUGCAUGGCUAGAGUGCGGCAGAGGGGGAUGGAAUUCCGCGUGUAGCAGUGAAAUGCGUAGAAUAUGCGGAGGAACACCCGGAUGGCGAAGGCAAUCCCCUGGGCCUGCACUGACGCUCAUGCACGAAAGCGUGGGGAGCAAACAGG